CGGACGGGUGAGUAACACGUAGGAACGUACCCCAAACUGAGGGAUAAGCACCAGAAAUGGUGUCUAAUACCACAUAUGAUCUUCGGAUUAAAGCUCCGGCGGUUUGGGAACGGCCUGCGCAUGAUUAGCUUGUUGGUGAGGUAAUAGCUCACCAAGGCGACGAUCAUUAGCUGGUCUGAGAGGAUGACCAGCCACACUGGGACUGAGAUACGGCCCAG
rnacentral:rRNA from 1 species